UGCGCAAGUCAGUGGGACAUAAAGCGAGACCUAAAGGCGAAAUGAAAGUGAAUAUAUGUGUGCGGGCGCGCGCGCGCGCCCGUGUGCGUGCGAGCGUUUCCACUUGUGGUUGCGUCUCGUGCGCGCGCUGUGUGCGCUGUGCUUGUACAUAGAGGGAGGAUGGGCAGGCCCAAGCAGGUCGGCUCCGCACUCCCGGGGCGUCUCGUGUUCAUUACGAACUGAGGCGCACCUAGAGCGUACACGCUGGGACCCGAAAGAUGGUGAACUAUGCCUGGUCAGGACGAAGUCAGGGGAAACCCUGAUGGAGGUCCGUAGCGAUUCUGACGUGCAAAUCGAUCGUCGGAACUGGGUAUGGGGGCGAAAGACUAAUCGAACCAUCUAGUAGCUGGUUCCCUCCGAAGUUUCCCUCAGGAUAGCUGGCGCUCAAAUAAUAUAUAUGUGUGUGUGUGUGUGUGUGUGUGUGUGCGCGUAGCGGUCGGUCUCUAUAUGGGACAGGAUGCGCGCGCGCGCGCGCGCGCGCCCUCAACACCACACAAUCUGAAGAGUUUCAUCCGGUAAAGCGAAUGAUUAGAGGCAUUGGGGUCGAAACGACCUCAACCUAUUCUCAAACUUUAAAUGGGUGAGAUCUCCGGCUUACUUGAUAUAAUUUU
rnacentral:rRNA from 1 species